rnacentral:siRNA from 1 species
UGGAGUUACUAGUCGAUUUCUCA